GUUAAGCUUAUUGACGGUAAGUUUAAUGCGGUGGUCUGUGACCCGGUUUUGGGGAUAGUUAUAUGUGCGGAUCUUUUCGGCACGAUCACCUGACCCAACCUGACUUUUACGCAAACCUGCUUGGGUUGAUAACUGUUCGUUCUGCGCUUUUUCCCACAGUUUAGCACGUAGCAUCUUCAUUGCCGUAUCACGGUUAGUAAAUUGUGAUUUACCCUCUUGACACGAAACUACUAUGCCAGUUGGUAAAUGGGUAAUCCGCACUGCACUUUCAGUCCGGUUAACGUGUUGACCCCCAGCACCCGAAGCACGGUAGGUAUCUACUCUAAGAUCAGCUGGGUUAAUAUGAACUUCAACCGCUUCUAGUUGUGGUAAAACAGCAACCGUAACGGUUGAAGUGUGUACUCUCCCCUUGGAUUCAGUAGCGGGUACGCGUUGUACCCGGUGUACGCCAGAUUCAAACUUGAGCUUGGCAAACACAUCGACACCAUUAACUUCAAAGGAAACGAAGUUUAACCCGACACUGGAUGGGAUCAUUUCGUUAAUUUGCAACUUUCAACCCUUGUUAGUACAAAAGUUGCGGUACAUAUUGAAUAAAUCAGCUAAAAAGAUGCACGAUUCAUCC
rnacentral:sRNA from 1 species